GACAACGUGGCGGAGUGGUUAACGUGCAUCCCUGCUAAGGAUGUGUCCUUUGGACGCGCAGGUUCGAAUCCUGCCGUUGUCG
rfam:Exidia glandulosa HHB12029 unplaced genomic scaffold EXIGLscaffold_61, whole genome shotgun sequence.